GUGAAUCAUCGAAUUUUUGAACGCAAAUUGCGCUUCCUGGCAUCCCGGGGAGGAUGCCUGUUUGAGGGUCAGUAUUAAUAAAAAAUCGGUUUAGUUACAAAUGGUGACGUUUCCGGAGUUUGGGCUACCUUAACAUUUUUGGUUAAGAGGCUUAAAAUUGGCCUUUUUUAUGCAUUUUGAAACUUAAAUAAAU
rnacentral:misc_RNA from 1 species